rnacentral:rRNA from 1 species
AUUGAACGCUGGCGGCAGGCCUAACACAUGCAAGUCGAGCGGAUGAAGGGAGCUUGCUCCUGGAUUCAGCGGCGGACGGGUGAGUAAUGCCUAGGAAUCUGCCUGGUAGUGGGGGACAACGUUUCGAAAGGAACGCUAAUACCGCAUACGUCCUACGGGAGAAAGCAGGGGACCUUCGGGCCUUGCGCUAUCAGAUGAGCCUAGGUCGGAUUAGCUAGUUGGUGAGGUAAUGGCUCAACAAGGCGACGAUCCGUAACUGGUCUGAGAGGAUGAUCGGUCACACUGGAACAGAGACACGGUCAAGACGCCUACGGGAGUGAGCAGUGGGGAAUAUUGGACAAUGGGCGAAAGCCUGAUCCAGCCAUGCCGCGUGGGUGAAGAAGGUCUUCAGAUUGUAGAGCACUUUAAGUUGGGAGGAAGGGUUGUAGAUUAAUACUCUGCAAUUUUGACGUUACCGACAGAAUAAGCACCGGCUAACUCUGUGCCAGCCGCCGCAGUAA